CAAAGGAGAGCUAAGACAUGUGGCUGGCCCUCUGAGCACAGAGCCUGGUGGACCAUCCAGCAAUUGUUAUUAGCCAUUACAAACUAGGUGCAAUGAUUGGGAACAUUCUGGAAAAGGUUUUGGCAUGUUAUUUGGUCAGAGUCUCAACUUUACAGAGUGAUGAGAACACUGAAUGACAACAAAGCGAAGCAAAUGAAAGCUGUCUUGGACUUUGAUGUUGAAAGACCUGGUUCAGCUUCCUACUUCUGGCUGAUCCUCAUCGGCGUCCCACAGCAGCUCACAUACUGGUUACGUUACCAAUCAUGGAUGAGCUUCAGUUUCUGGAUCAGAAAGUUGAAAUAGGGAACAUGUUUGUCUCUCAGUGUUGCAACUGUGGAGAAGUGCCAAGGAAAGCCUACUGUGACCUGUAAAUGAAUAUUGCUCUUGUAAUGACUAUUUUGAGGUACAUAGAAAACAACAAGAAAGGACAAUUCAGCACAGAGAUUAACAUGACUUAAAGGCAUGGAAGAUUAAUGGUGUACUGAUGCUCAGGAAUGACAAGAAGGGUCUCACACUGGUACCUGGAUCUGAACAAUUAAUCUAGAAAGGCUGAUAGUUCCUCUCACUGAAGCUGGAACUUUGAGCAAGACUGGCGGGCCGGGAAGCCACAAAGAUCCUUCUGCCUCUACUUCCCCAGUGUUGGAUUACAGGCUUGCUACACCCAGUUUUACACCGGUUCUUGAUAUCCAAACUCAAGGGCCUCAUGUUCACACACGAAGAACUUUCACCACUGAGCCAUCCCCCCCCAGCAUCAUGCACAGGUGAUCAUCCUCCUUAGGGAAGAAACAUUUUUCGAAGCACAGCAGACUUAAGACAUCCCACACUACGGUGAUUGAGAAUGAUUUUCUUACGAACAUCAGACCUAAGCAAUACCCCCUCUGGCUCCCACAUGCUCAUUCUCCACACUGAAAAGAAAGCAGAAAACUGUAGGUGACGUGCUUCUAAUGAAGAAAAAUCACCAGGACGAGUAUCUAUUUUGCUCUUGUGCCUUUGUCAUUACAAUGUUGCCGUUCAGCAUGAGAGCAACGAGCCACUUAAAGAUAGGGGUACUUCAAACUUUCCCGCUCAACAUUUGUGGAUACUCAAGUGGGACAAGGGAAGGUCUCCUCGUUAUUUCCGGGCAGGGAUGAGAAACACAAUGCUUCUUCCACUGCUACCAGGCACAGGUGGCCUUUCUACCACUACCAGGGGGCAGGAGUGUUGGCUCUCUGAAAACUGGUGGAUAUGUUAUCAGGAGACUUACAUAGUGCCAGAAGGUCCUACACAGGCUUGUGGGGAAGACAACACAUCACUGCCCUUACUUGAUGGUGGACCUCAUUGCUAGAAUCCUAUCCUGCCAGGGAACUAGAUGGUCUGGAAAUGCUUCAACUGGCUUCUUUGUCUGGGUGUGGAUGUGCCCUAGAAGACAGAAACCUUCUUGAUCCCUACAGCUAUUUCCGUUAACCCCUUGAAGACUGCAUCAAGUGUGCGCUCAGCUGCCGAACUCUUUUAAUGAGAAAGGCUCCGUGACAAACCCACCAGACCUCCGAGAGCAAGUUUCCCCGUUUAUGUCCUUGCCAUCCCUAAACCCUUGUGGGUGAUUCUGAACGUGGAGUAGACGGAGGUGGUGAACACCAUCCAAGCUUUUAUGACCAACACUUCCACACUGGACUUCCCCAGAACCAUAGAUUACUUUCUGAGGACUAUAGGUCAGUGCUACACCUCUUGUUCCUCAGCGUUUAUUUUAGCCCAGCUAAUACAUACUCUUGUCCCUUGAAGUAUGAAAAUAAAAUAAAGCAUGAAGAGUAGGAAUCACAGUUCUUCUCUGUUAAAAGUUACUGAAUUUAAAGUCAUUAUUAGAUGGAUACUUCACUGACAUCUGGUUUGCUGUCUCCUUGCAUCUCUCCCAGACCCUCUCUCUCUUCACUCUACCCCCUCUCUCUUGCUGGGAAUUGAACCUGUGCUUUUAUGCAAGUGCUUGAGAACAGAGGUAUCAUGUUCUGUUAAUACUUUCCUUCUUGCUUGUUGUCCCAAAAUAGGUAGUGACCUUCUACCCUGAGGUCAUUAUGCAUUUAUCUAACUCUUUAUGAAAGAGAAGGAUCUGAAUGGUUGGUUAGGUUAGUUAUUAUUAUCUUUGAAGUCAGUGAAACUUCAAAUUUCCUAUGUUUCCAUGGAUGAUCAGAUACUAUAACUGAUUACAAAAGAAGUCCAUAAAUAUGAAGGCUUAUAAAAAUCAACCAAUAAUGGAAGCGCAUAUUUGCAUAGCUUCUAACCAACAACUCAUCAUUUCUUUCUUUAGUCCUCUGUUGCAUUUUACAACUUAACUAUAAUUAUACUAAGUGAGGAAUUUUAUUUUACCUUGAAGGUACCAUAACAAUAUUUGUAUAAUUGUUUAGUAAAUUUUCUGAUGUUCAUUGAACUUUUAAAUUUUAUGUGUUGGGAAUUUUUUUUAAAUGGAAUUUUUUUAAAUAUAUAAUUUAUUUAACUUUAUUUUAUGUGCAUUGGUGUGAGGGUGUCAGAUCACCUGGAACUGGAGGUACAGACAGUUGUGAGCUGCCAUGUGGGUGCUGGGAAUUGAACCUGGGUCCUUUGGAAGAACCGACAGUGCUCUUAACCACUGAGCCAUCUCUCCAGCCCCGUGUUGGGAAUUUUUAAGAAAAGAUUUAUUCAUUUAUUUUGUUUUCUUUUAAGAUUUAUUUUUAUUUUGUGUUUUAAGAGUGUUUUACCACAUGUAUGUCUGUGCACAUGUAUCUGAUGCCAGUGAAGGACAGGAGAGAGCAUAGAUCCUCUGGAAUUGGAUUUAAAUAAGAUGGUUGUUAGCUGUCAUGUGGGCACUGGUGAUUCAACCCAUUUCCUCUGCAAGAGCAGCCAGGGUUCUCAACUGCUAACUCAUCUCUACAGCUCACAUGUUGAGACUUUUUAUUUGUAUGUGUCUUUUCUGGUGAUAAUUUUUUUUAAAUAUAUAAAAAUGCAUAACUUAGCCUUCUUUAGACAGAUCCCUUGUGAAAACAAAGGAGAAGAGGAAAGCAAGGAGAUAGAGAAGGGACUCACACACACAAAUAAUUAGCUGCCUUUGUUUUUCUGUCUUACUGUUUACUUCGUUAUAUUGUUCUAAUCUUUUUCUUUUGGCUGUUUGUUUGAGAUGGUGUCUUACUAUGUAUCCCAGACUGAUUCUCAAAUUGCCGUCUUCCUGCCUUAGCCUCCCAAAUGCUGGAGUUACAGUUACCUCCUGAUUUUAUUCAUGAUAUUUUAUUUUAUUUUAUUUCAUUGAUUAAAAGAUGAUGGAAUGUUGUUUUCUCUUUCUAGCUUUAGUGUAAUAUUUACUUUCACUGUGAGUCCACAUACACAUAUAUGCGUACACAGACACACACGUAUACUCCCUCACUGAAAUAUUUAUUUUAAUUUAUCAUAUACUAUCUCUACUCAAGUACAAAACCUCUUGGUUAUACAUUUUGAUAAUGUUUUUUCAUCCUCACUCAGAUGAAAAAGGAUGCAAGCUUUGCUAUGAGUAGUUAUCCUCAAUGGACUUCAUUCAGUUUUUUUUCUCUCUUUUCUUUCUCAUGUAGGUCAUGCAUCUCACUCUGUAAUGCUGUGAUUAUGUGAGCUAAAACUGCAAAGUGUGACUUAACACACAAACACCUUACCUCAUGCAUUUCAUUGUAAACAUUCAUUCCAUUAUUAGUAAAUUAGUAAAAUUGAGAGCAAAUAUGACUCCUGACCCUGAUGAAGAAAUGAAAAUGUUUCAAGUCUGUAUUGUCCUUGAUAGCCUGUGGCAUGUGUUCCAACAGAACACAGUUCAACUGCUAGUGUCUAGCUCUAAGUCUCUAGAAGUGCUGCACACGUAACUAAUCUUUCCCUACUCCUUUGCCUUCACCAAGAGAUCAUCACAUCUGCAGUGACCUGCUUGAUGAGCUGCACAUGUUGUCAGAGCGGCCCAUUAGACAUGUCAGAAAGAAUAACAGGGUCAGAAGAACCUCUAGCUUAACUAUCUACCCCACAGUACUGUGCUCUAUAUGAACCCUAAUUGUUUGAAGUCACUGGCUAUGUGUUUAUUUUGUUAUCCAUCAAGACAUUUAUAUUAAAGUAGGUUAGACUCAUAUAGAUUCUUAAGAAAAAGACUGAACAUUUAUCAUAUUCAACCUUAAACUGCUUGGCCAGUGAGCUUUGAGUUCACUUGAGUUUAUGGCCCUUUUGUCAGAUGUUACUCUUAAGUUGACCCUUUAUAUUCCACGGUGUUUCUUUUAAAUUCAGUAUUGUGGACGUAUUUCGUAGCUAUCUAUAAUGCAGCAAGUUUAUGAGUGCAGUAGCCAUGUCAUAUCCAGAGAACGUUGUAUCUCAGUAUUCCUUCCUAACCUCUUGCUCUCAUAUUCAGUCUCCUUCCCUUUCUACAGCAUUCCCUGAGCUUUGUAGGGGAUGGUGUUAUCGUCCCCUUUAGGACAAAGAAUUUCAAAAGUCUCUUAUUCUCCAUCCUUUGACCAGCAGUGAGUCCUCGAAAUAACAGCCACCCAUUUCAAAAAGAAACUUCUAAGAGCGUGGCCGAGAGUAGCACUACUUGGGUGUUAAACCUUCAGGGUCAUCCCCAGUGACCUAAUUCUUUGAGAAAGGGUCUACCUUUCCAACCAUCACUACUAGCUGGAAAACAAGUGUUCAAACACAUGAGCAUAUGAGAGACAUCUCAUGUGCAAACUGUAACAGACUAGUUUAACAAAGAAAACAAACACUGGGAGGCUUAACAAGUAAACAUUCAUGAAACACAACUCUGGAGUCCACAGAAUAAAUGAUUCAUGGACAGAUUCAUUUUUGGAGCUAUUAGCGAAGUGUAAAGCAGUAUUCAUGAUAUUUAUUCUUGAUGGUUUCUUUGCUUACAGUCAGUACUUCACCUAGUUGGUCUUUAUCGAGAACAGGGACACAAAUCUUUGUUACUGGAGGAACAGGACUCUUGACAGUAUUGUUUCUAUAUGAUCUUCUCUAGUAGGGUUUUUUCACAGUGCAGUGUGUUAUUCAUCUCUGUGUUUUCUUAAAUGGUAGCUGCUAAAUACACAUGCUGCCGAACACUUGACAUAAAGCCAGUCAGAGAAAAAUUUUAAAUUUUAUGUAAUGUUAACUAAAUAUUAAGUCUCAUUUGUCAAUGUGUUUAUAGAGCUUCAAUAAUGUUCUAAGAGUUCUACUUAGUCUGUGUCGGUAUAUCUUGUAUUAUUUUCCCAUGAUCCAUGGAUGUCUGCUUGUUUAUUAUUAUUUUCUUUUUUUUGUUUUAGUUUGGGACAUUUAUAUUGUUCUUUCAAGUGUCUUAUUCUUUUCCCAUCUUCAUUAGAUCUGCUGAUGAGACCUUGGAAAUCUGUCUGUAUUUUCAUAUUCAGUUUUUUAGUUCAACAACUUCUCUUUGGUCAUUUUUUAGAUAUUCAUAGUCUGAUAAUAUUACUCAUCUGUUCGACACAUUAUUAUUUUAAAUUUGCAACUGAUAAUUCUAAUAUCGGGAUCUCAUCUGAGUCUGAUUUUGAUAUUUGCCUUUUGUUUCCCUUUCCUUUAAAGUGCUUUCUUCGGAAGCCACACAUUUAAAUCAGGCAUACAGAGCAGCAUACAGAACUGGCUACCUCCUGUAAGCAGACAAGGAUCCCGAUGGAGGGCCUGAGAGGCCAGCCCAUCUACAAAACCUUCAGUACUCCCUGCCCUGCCUAUAACGUAUGCUGGGGUACAGGUGGCACAGAAACUGUGACAGUGGACAACCAAUGACUAGUCCAGCUUGAGACCUUACACUGAGAGGAAGCCACCCCUGAUAUUGCCUGGAGGUCCAGGACCCAGAGGAUAGAACCAACUAUGGCUGGCAAAAAAGAAAAAAAAAUCAAUGAAAUAAUUUCUAAUGAUAUUCUGCUAUGCUCAAAGAUUGUUGCCUAGCCCAAUUAUAACCAGAAAGGCUUCCUCUAGCAACUGAUAGAAGCAGAAGCAGAAAUUCACAGCCGAACACUAGGUGGCUCAAAGGGAAUCCUGUAAAAAAGGGGGAAUAAGGAUUGUAGAAGCCAGAGAGGCUAAGAACACCCAGAAGAAUCAACUUACUUGGCCUCAAAGGGGUUCACAGAGACUUAACUGACAACUAGAGGGCCUGCAUGGGACUGACCUAGGCUCUCUUCAUAUGUGUUGAAGUUGUUGUAUGGCUUGGUCUUUUUGUGGGACUUGUAACAGUGGGAGCAGGGGCUGUCUCUGACCCUUUUGUAUGGGACUCUUUUUUCCUACCGGGUCACCUUAUCCAGACUUAAUAUGAUGGGAGGUGCCCAGUCUUACUGCAAUCUGAUUAUGCCAUGUUUGGCUGAUAUCCAUGGGAUGCCUACUGUUUUCUGAAAAGAAAAGGAGGAGAACUGGAUGGGGGAUGGGUGAGCAGAGGGAAGGUAGGUGGGGGAAGAAGAAAUGUGAGGAGUAGAGAGAGGGGAGACUAUGGUCAAGAUGUAAGACGAAAGAAAACUUUGUGUAUUUAUUAGUAUAUUCUUAUGGCCUCCCAUUGCUCUACUUUGUGGCAACAACAUUCCCAAUCUACUUCCAUCAAGAUCUGUCCAUUGUAGCUUCUCAAGAAAGGGAGGAAUCCCUUUGCUUUGGCAAGGAGAAAGAGUCAGCAGACUGUUUUUCUCUAGAACAUCUUAGUCUUAGAGAAAGCUGAGGAGAGAGCGCUGUAACUGGCAAACCAGGAGGUUUCGCACAAGAACUGCAUAGUGGUCCUGAUGGCAAACGGUAACAGGUGAUUCAGCUCCCCUAAAACUAAGGCCUCGGAACUUUCUCAUCUCACCCUUUGCAUCAAACUCAGCCUCCUGACACUUGAUCAGUCACCACGGAAGUGACCCCAGGUAAUGACAUCGCCAUGUUCUGUCUGGGCCUGCUUCGUGACUUUGGCCUGGCUGUCUGCAGUAAUUCCUCAGUUCCUGGACAGAACUAAGUAACACCACCCAUUUCUGUUUCCCUGGCUUUUCCUUGAAGCAAGAACAAGGAGACGACUGUUCAGUUCCUCCCAGGCCAAAACCAAGAUUGCAACCUCGUACUAAGCACUUAGAUCCACUGAGGUAAUUUCUAAAUACUGAAAUAUUUAUUUUCUCUUUUUAAGCAUCUCUCUUAGGAGCCUGAGGUCUGCUUCUCACACACAUAAGAUGCUUCUGAGAGGACGAAGAUACUUGAUCCUCUGCAGCCAGAUAGAAGACUGUUUAGCAAGUGUUUGAGGGAAAAAUUUAAAGACUAUUUCCUGAUAGAGUAUAGAUCUCACUAAAUUUACUGUUGGGUGUCUCUUCAUACCGAGACAUCUCUGAGAAUGCUCUAGGUCAUGUCACGUUCGAAACUAAUUAUUCAUAAGUUGCUUCUCGUUUCUUAGGGCCCAUGCUGAGACACUUCAUAAAGCAAGCAAGUCACUUUAUGACCUGGUCCCGCUCUCUCUCUCCAGCCUCACUUAUGCCUCUGUCCGUCUCGUUCAGUUGCUUCAUCCAACUGGCCUCCUACAGUUCCUCAGGCUUUCUACUCUCUGAUCCUCAUAGUGUAGUUACCUACGGCUACAAUGCUCUUCUGUUCCCUGGGAAACUUCAGCUUCCAGCUAAACCAACAGGUCGCUGUUUAUUCUGUCGCAGGAAUAUUCCUCAGUUCAUCUUUUAGUAAGUCUCACAAGUAUAAUUAAUUAUUUAAAAUUAUUAUGUAGUUCUUUGUUUAAGAUCCGUCUCACCCAGUCUCAGCUACACCCUUCAAGGAGCCUGGAGACUGCCUGUUUCACUCGCACAAUCACUCUUUUAGCCUCAUAGCUCCUGGACAACAUUUUCAAAUGCAUCGAUGACGGAUGAAUGAAAAUUCCAUCUCUAUUUUCAUCUUACCAAAAACCGAAUUCUUGGUUUGUGGUUAGGUGGUAGGGAAGCGUGGAGAAGCAGUCAACCCAAGCAGGGGCCUCCCAGGAAAGAAUAUAUGUGCAGAAAUGUCAUUUAAGAGAUGAGAUGAAAAUUCUCCCCUAGGGAAACUCAGAAAUAUUUGUGAAAAGACUGUUCCUUACUCUUUUGCAGAUGUGGCCAUGGCUUAAUUUCUUUGGUUACUAACGGAGACGGUCCCCCAGAAGAGCAGAAAUCUCGGGGCCACUCAGAUUGCAGCAGCUAUAAAAAAUGUGAUAAUCAUUAUCAGCUAACUAAUCUUUUCUCUUCAAGUUUCUCAAUGAUUACAGUGAACCAUGAAAAAUUGCCUCAAAGCCACAGAUGACAGAAUGGUUCCCUGGGCAAGUUUUGUGGUGAUCCCAAGACUCGUGGAGUCAUCCCAGGAAUUCAGGCUUGACUUCGCUGAAUGCAUUCAAAAGCAGGCACACUCCACUCCCUUGAAGGGAAGAAAACAUGCACUCUGUCUUCUGAGGGACUUCAGUAACUUCCAUCCGAACCCAACACGAAGAAAGAAUCCUUUGCCUUCCGGCCCCAAACUCCUCAAAAAUAUGCACAGUUAAACAAGAAAGAUGGAAGUGUGAGGGCUAGGCAGCUCCUGAAGCAGCUGCUGCACACAGAGACAAAGUGGCCUGAUACAAAAUUAACUCAAAAAAAAAAAAAAGUAGCCCUCUUGUAUACAAAAGACAAAAGGGCUGAGAAAGAAAUUAGGAAAACAACACCCUUCACAAUACCCACAAAGGACAUAAAGUACCUUGGAGUAACCCUAACCAAACAAGUCAAAGACUUGUAUGAAAAAAAUUUCAAGUCUCUGAAGAAAGAAUUAGAAGAAGAUAUCAGAAGAUGGAAAGAUCUCCCAUGCUCAUGGCUUGGCAGGCUUAACACAGUAAAAAUGGCCAUCUUACCAAAAGCAAUCUACAGAUUCAAUGCAAUUCCCAUCAAAUUACCAACACAAUUCUUUACAGGCCUUGAAAGAAAAAUUCUCAGCUUCAUAUAGAAUAACAAGAAACCCAGAAUUGCUAAAAUAGUCCUCUACAAUAAAAGAUCUUCUGGAGGAAUCUCCAUACCUGAUCUCAAGCUGUACUAUAGAGCAACAGUGAUAAAAACUGCAUGGUACUGGCAUAGAAACAGAAUGGUGGAUCAAUGGAAUCAGAUAGAAGACCAAGAAAUAAACCCACACACUUAUGGACACCUGAUUUUUGAUAAAGAUGCCAAAACCAUACAAUGGAAAAAAGAUCUUCAACAAAUGGUUAUUUACUUGAUUGUACCCAUUUUUAAAUGAACAAAUAAAGACCAGAAGAAGAAACUACACAGAGGUCAUUUGGUAGAAAAAGCCAAAUUGAAGAAUGAAUUUGGUGCAUCUAUGCAGAAAGCUUUGAAGAAAAGCAACGUUAAGGGACUAAAUGAGUACUACAAAGUUGUUGGCUUACUUGUCUGGAAUAGAGAAUUUAUACAGGGUGUUGAGAAAACAGCCUAGAAAGAUAGAAGCUCUGAAAGCUAGACUAAAGUUGUUUAUUUGACGGCUGUCGAUGUGGUUCUGAAGUUAAAAGCACAUAACUGCAGACGACUCAGAUUCUGUUUCUGGCACCCAGUGAGGCAGCUCACAAGCCCCUAUAACUCUAGUUCUAACGGAUCUGAUGCUCUCUUCUGGAAUUUCUGGGGACAUGAAUGCAAGCAUUGCAUAUAAAUUCAAACAGCCUUCCCCCACAUACACAUAAAUAAAAGUGAAUUAAUUAACCAUUAAAA